rnacentral:tRNA from 1 species
GGGCCUUAGCUCAGUUGGUAGAGCGCCUGCUUUGCAAGCAGGAUGUCAGGAGUUCGAAUCUCCU